GAAACGGAUGCUAAUACCCCAUAGGUGGAUUGGUCGCAUGACGAAUUCAUUGAAGGUGGCUUUGCUACCACUCAUGGAUAGCCUCGCGGCGUAUUAGCUAGUUGGUAAGGUAAUGGCUUACCAAGGCAGUGAUACGUAGCCGACUUGAGAGGGUGAUCGGCCACACUGGGACUGAGACACGGCCCAG
rnacentral:rRNA from 1 species